ACAAGCUUCAUUGCCACCACCGCCAACAAAACCACCUCCAAACCUUGAAGGUUUUAUGAGAUUUGGUAGAAAUAAUGCAUAAAUAAUUAUGUAACUUGUAAAUUGGCAUGUCUUCUUUUAGUUUUUUUUUCUUUUAGUGGUGGUAUUAGUACCAUGUUGUGCUCAUUCCAUUGGGGAAAGAAAGACUAAGAAAGAUAUGCCAUUUUGGUCAAUAAAUAUGUUUUUUAUCAUAUCCUUGAAUAUCUUUGUCUCAAUAUUUUUUUGUCUUUACUUCUAUAUCAUUCCUUGAGUAUUUAUAUAACAUAUAAUAUAUAACAUACAACACAUAAUACUAA
rnacentral:lncRNA from 1 species